CAGUACUCUUCAAGAAGACUAAAUACGAACUAAAGGUCACAAAACUAACCCAUAUCAGAAGAAAAGAAAAAUCAAAUUUGCUCUAGAUGUUUCCAGGCACUGCAGUAAAGAAACAGGUUCCAGAAUGCUUGUUACCUACGGAGAAUAUGUGUUUCUUCUUUACUCUUUCCUGUGCUGAGGUGGGCCACUAAGAUCACCGUGUGUCUCUGUCUAUUGUGUAGACCAAGUCAUCUUUCCCUACCGUAUUGAAAAAAUGUCACCGUACAGUAUUCUCAGUACGUAUGUGCUUGGGCUGUAUUGUGGAUCUUUAUCUUCUGCUCCACUAAUGCUUCUUUAUAUUCAGAUAUCAAAACCACACUAUUUAAUUAUUGUAGCUUUUAAGGAUUGUUGAAAUUUCCCUUGAAUAGCCUCCAAUUAUUACUCUUCUUUUUCAAUAGAGUCUAUUAAGAUAAUCUUUUGCUUGACUUUUCUAUCAAGUUUACUCUCAUAGAUGAAAUUAGGAGUAUUUUCACAGUUCCAAAAAAUAAAAUUUUAUUAAAUGUAUCAAUUAAUUAUGGGUUAAUUGACAUCUUUAUAACAAAGAACAACUCCAUUUAUUCACUUUUUUGGUAUCUUUUGGCGAAAUUUUCUUCACAUGGGCUCACAAUUUUUGUUGUUAAUUUCUAGUUACAUAUUUUAUU